rnacentral:rRNA from 1 species
AAACUUAAAUGAAUUGACGGGGGCCCGCACAAGCGGUGGAUUAUGUGGUUUAAUUCGAAGCAACGCGAAGAACCUUACCAGGACUUGACAUCCUACUAACGAGGUAGAGAUACGUCAGGUGCCCUUCGGGGAAAGUAGAGACAGGUGGUGCAUGGUUGUCGUCAGCUCGUGUCGUGAGAUGUUGGGUUAAGUCCCGCAACGAGCGCAACCCUUAUUGUUAGUUGCUACGCAAGAGCACUCUAGCGAGACUGCCGUUGACAAAACGGAGGAAGGUGGGGACGACGUCAAAUCAUCAUGCCCCUUAUGUCCUGGGCUACACACGUAAUACAAUGGCGGUCAACAGAGGGAUGCAAAGCCGUGAGGUGGAGCGAACCCCUAAAAGCCGUCUCAGUUCGGAUCGCAGGCUGCAACUCGCCUGCGUGAAGUCGGAAUCGCUAGUAAUCGCGGAUCAGAAUGCCGCGGUGAAUACGUUCCCGGGCCUUGUACACACCGCCCGUCACACCAUGAGAGUCGGGAACACCCGAAGUCCGUAGCCUAACAGCAAUGAGGGCGCGGCCGAAGGUGGGUUCGAUAAUUGGGGUGAAGUCGUAACAAGGUAGCCGUAUCGGAAGGUGCGGCUGGAUCACCUCCUUUCUG